rnacentral:rRNA from 1 species
UACGAAGGGGGCUAGCGUUGCUCGGAAUCACUGGGCGUAAAGCGCACGUAGGCGGAUUGCUAAGUCAGGGGUGAAAUCCUGGAGCUCAACUCCAGAACUGCCCUUGAUACUGGCGACCUCGAGUCCGGGAGAGGUGAGUGGAACUGCGAGUGUAGAGGUGAAAUUCGUAGAUAUUCGCAAGAACACCAGUGGCGAAGGCGGCUCACUGGCCCGGUACUGACGCUGAGGUGCGAAAGCGUGGGGAGCAAACAGG